UACGUAGGGGGCAAGCGUUGUCCGGAUUUAUUGGGCGUAAAGAGCGUGUAGGCGGCCAAGCAGGUCAGCUGUGAAAACUCGAGGCUCAACCUCGAGACGUCGGUUGAAACCGCUUGGCUAGAGUCCGGAAGAGGCGAGUGGAAUCCUGGUGUAGCGGUGAAAUGCGCAGAUAUUAGGAAGAACACCGGUGGCGAAGGCGGCUCUCUGGAACGGUACUGACGCUGAGACGCGAAAGCGUGGGGAGCGAACGAGGA
rnacentral:rRNA from 1 species